GUGUGGCUUCUGGGCAGGCUCCGACCUCUGCGUGCCCUUGGUCUGGAAGCCAGCCCGGGAGCAAGCGGAAAAGCCGUGGAAACACACCCGGAUUGAAAUGCCCCUGGCCCGCCUGACCCGACCCUAGGAGAAGCAGCCGAGUUACCCGACAUCGUGGUCAGCAGGAGCUGGGUCGGUGGCUGGAUGCUGCAGCAGCAGGGACUCAGCGCCUGGGAGGGCUCCUGGGGCAGGGAGAGAAGCAGAGAUGCAACAUUUUUAAAAUUUCACAAAGCAUCCGGCUGCACCCAGGUCCCUGGAACAGGAGACAAACAGAAUUAAUGUUUUAUACCUUCGGGUAUAGGUUUGAGUUUUUUCCCCCUCAUGCCAAGUAUUUAAAACCUCUAGAAACCCA
ensembl:lncRNA COLCA1 colorectal cancer associated 1